rnacentral:rRNA from 1 species
GACGAACGCUGGCGGCGUGCUUAACACAUGCAAGUCGAGCGGUAAGGCCCUUUCGGGGGUACGACGAGCGGCGAACGGGUGAGUAACACGUGGGUGACCUGCCCUCCAGCUCUGGGAUAAGCCUGGGAAACCGGGGUCUAAUACCGGAUAUGACUCCAUGACGCAUGUUGUGGGGUGGAAAGCCUUGUGCGGCUGAGGAUGGGCCCGCGGCCUAUCAGCUUGUUGGUGGGGUGAUGGCCUACCAAGGCGACGACGGGUAGCCGGCCUGAGAGGGCGACCGGCCACACUGGGACUGAGACACGGCCCAGACUCCUACGGGAGGCAGCAGUGGGGAAUCUUGCGCAAUGGGCGAAAGCCUGACGCAGCGACGCCGCGUGAGGGAUGACGGCCUGG